GAACGAUUAAAGCCCCUUCGGGGGUGUAUAAAGUGGCGAACGGGUGAGUAACAGGUGGAUAAUCUACCUUUCGGUGGGGGACAACGGUUGGAAACGGCCGCUAAUACCGCAUACGAUUGCGAGGGCUUCGGUUCACGCAAGGAAAGGCGCCUCAAAGCGCCGCCGAAAGAUGAGUCCGCCCCCCAUUAGCUAGUUGGUGUGAUAAAAGCGCACCAAGGCGACGAUGGGUAGCCGGACUGAGAGGUUGGCCGGCCACACUGGGACUGAGACACGGCCCAGACACCUACGGGUGGCAGCAGUAGGGAAUAUUGGACAAUAGGCGAAAGCUUGAUCCAGCUAUGCCGCGUGGAUGACGAAGGCCUUCGGGUCGUAAAGUCCUUUUCUGAGGGAAGAACAUCCCGGGUAGGAAAUGGCCCGGGCUUGACGGUACCUCAGGAAUAAGCAACGGCUAACUCCGUGCCAGCAGCCGCGGUAAUACGGAGGUUGCAAGCGUUGUUCGGAUUUACUGGGCGUAAAGGGAGCGCAGGCGGCUUGGUCAGUCUAAAGUGAAAUCCCGGGGCUCAACCCCGGAAGUGCUUUGGAUACUGCCAAGCUUGAGUACGUGAGAGGUGAGCGGAAUUCCAGGUGUAGCGGUGAAAUGCGUAGAUAUCUGGAGGAACAUCGGUGGCGAAAGCGGCUCACUGGCACGAAACUGACGCUGAGGCUCGAAAGCGUGGGGAGCGAACGGGAUUAGAUACCCCGGUAGUCCACGCCGUAAACGUUGUGCACUAGGUGUGAGAGGUAUCGACCCCUCUCGUGCCGCAGCUAACGCAUUAAGUGCACCGCCUGGGGAGUACGAUCGCAAGAUUGAAACUCAAAGGAAUUGACGGGGGCCCGCACAAGCGGUGGAGCAUGUGGUUU
rnacentral:rRNA from 1 species